AAAAAAACACACAUUUUGAACAUAGCGGUAGUAGGAGCAAUUGUCUGGACCAGUUCUUGAAUUUGAAAUGGAUCCCAGGAAACUCCAGGAAAUCCUGGACCUUAAAAUUCAUAACAGGUACCCAGAAGGGGCAACCAGCAAACAGCGGUACAUCAUCAGACGACGAUCAUCUACCUUUGUUUUGCAAGAUGGGGAACUGCAUUACAUAUGCAGGAGGAAAUCCAAUAAAGAGGAACAUCUGGCGAAGCUUGUUACAACAGCCGAGGAGGCAAACAGCAUCUUCAUAGAAUUUCAUGCCAGUGAAUUAGGUGGACACUGUGGGUGGGAAAGAACCCACUGUUCCAUUGCCAGCCACUAUUACUGGCCUGGUAUAGAAAGGGACAUCCAACAAUGGGUUGCUCAGUGUCCUCAAUGCCAAAAGAAAAGGGCAACGAUCAAAGAAAAGUCUGAAUACAGUCCCAUAGAGGUAGGAAGAAUCAGAACUGAGGCAGAUGUGAAAUGUGUAUGUACUUGAAGUGAAGAAUAUACAAUUUAUCUCCUAAACAGGUGACCAAGCCAUUGGAACUGGUGGGCAUGGAUCUAGUGGGGAAACUCACAGCAACUAAUGGUGGUAAUCAGUACAUUUGUGUAAUCACUGAUUAUUUCACCAAAUGGGCAGAGGCCUACCCACUAAAAACAAAAUCAGCAGCUGAGGUCACCAGUUGUAUACUUGAUUUUAUUUUUACAAAUUUGGUGCACCUCAAAGGCUGCUUACAGACCAGGGCACAGAAUUUCUCAACAAGGUGAACUAUGGUUUGUGUGAGAAAUUAAAUAUCAAAAGAAGUUUGUGCUCGCCAUAUCACCCACAAACCAAUGGGCUAGUGGAGAACCUAAAUGGGACAAUUCAAAGGUCCUUGAACAAAUUGGUUGCAGACCAUCCCCAGAGAUGGGAUGAGGUGCUGCAACCAACAAUGUUUGCCCUGCGGACCAAACGACAUUUUACCACCAAACAUUCCCCAUAUUAUUUGAUGUUUGGCAGGGAGGCCAGGUAUCCGUCACAGAUACCAACACAAUAUGAGAUCACUGAUCAAAAGGUGGAGAGGCUAAUUUCACAGGAGGUUGUGAGCCGAGGCCUUUCUGAUCAGGAAAAAACAUACCGGGAAGUGUCCGCAAAUAUUCAAAGGAGUCAUGAAAAGGUUAGGCAGAGGAAAAGGCAACGGGGUGAGGAGGACAACUUUAAGGUGGGUGACAAAGUUCUUCUAAAGAACAUCAGGCAGGAGCAAAGGAAGGGGGGGGAAUGGAGGCUGACAUGUUGGAUCCCCUGAUGAUCACCAAAAUAGAGGGCAAGAGUGCAGACCUUGUAUCGGAAAAGGGGAAAGCAAAGAUCAAAAUUAAUGUCGAUCAUUUAAAACCGUAUAUAGUUCAGAAGCAAAGGAUACCCUCAAAAAUGAGGGUAUUUGAAAGGUAUUUGGGCAGGUCGUCAUCGCAGUAAAAUCUGGAGUCGGAUUGGGCCAUAUAAACUAUUCUCCGACAACAUCAUGGACCUGGCACCGGGGAAGGAGUUGGAGAGUGAGGUGAUCAAUGCAUACCUGUCGUUACUGGGUCGGCAGACUGGGGCAUUGAUAAUAGAUUCUUAUCUCAUGACCUCAGAGUGGCAGGGGGCUGUGAAAGGUCGUAAGAAGGCAAGUAUCAUUGCAUAGACCAAAGAAUGGUGGAUUCAGAGUUUGUUAAAGUAUUUCUUUUCCAGGUGCCUUUGAUGUCGUACAAUGUAGUGGCAGGGGCAGUUUGUCACAACAACCACUGGAUGCCUAUUGUGAGUACCAAAUGAGUUAUCAAAUGUUGUACCAGAUCUUUCUGACCCACUUUAUACUGGACAGGUUAUUUACUCAAUGGAAAAGAGGGUCGUUUUUGUCGACCCCUUUGGGGCAACUGAAGCGCAAAUCAAUAGGUGCCAGUAGAUGACCAGAGCAUUUGUACGCAAACAAUGCCUGGCCAUUGGGAGAUGGGAAUGCUCCACAGUGCCUCACCCAAGGCAGCAGGACAGUACAUCAUGUGGCGUUCUUGUGUGCGCAAUUGCAGAAUGUAUAUUAAGGGGUCGAGAAGCUGCCUUCCCUGUCCAUGCUGAGGGUGUGUCCAAACUGAGGCUGGAAAUGGCAACGGCUCUGCUGGCAAAGAUGGGUAAACUACUGCAGCCACUGUGUACUUAUAAUGAAUCCAUAUAAUGAAUCCGUACUUAUAAGGAAUCCAUCCUUGCCCUAAUACUUAUGUUUGCAGAUGACCUUUCGGAUUUGUGUUGGGCAUGUGGGGAGUUCAGCUCUGGAGCUGCCACAGAUGACUGGAUUGAAUGCAAUAGCUGCUCUAGAUGGUAUCACUGCGCCUGUGUAGGAUAUCCAUCCACAGUGGGAGAGUAUCACUGCCAGGCCUGUGAGGAAUAAUCCAUCCGCAAAUUUGCA